GAGAACAAUUUCUAAAAAUAAGUCAUUUUCUUUCUUUUCUUCUUCUUCCUUGCCGCUGCUGCUCCUUGCUGUCCGUCACCCCCUGUUGCCGUUCGCCGGCGUUGGCUGCCGCCACCGACUAGAGGAGGAGCAAGAAGAAGAAGAGUGGAAAAAAGUAAAAAUCUAAAAAAUAUAUAUAAAAUAGAUAAAAUAAAUACUGCCUUAUAAAAAAAAUAUGGAUCGUAUUGAACGCAUUACUGUUCAUUUUCUAUCCUAAGAAUAAAAAUUUUAUAUGGCUACCAAACGCGUUCAUUUACACAAAAAUUGUUCAUGGGAAUAGAAAUUGAAAAAAAUUAACUUUGAAAAGAAAUUAUUCUUCAAAAUAGAGUAUUACCAAAAAAUUCCUAAAAAAUCGAUGGACUAACCGCGACACUUUUUAAAAAAUACCGAGUGUCAUUUUGAACCAAAAGUAAUACAUAUAAAGGGAGUUUGGGUUUCGAAUCGGGCAAAAAAAGAGAUACCAUCGGUGCCAUUUCACUUAAAUUUUUAAUGAAUAUUAAAGUUCCUAAUCAUGCAUAAGUGUCAUUAGUCAAAUGAGUGAGUAAACUGGUCACAAAGAAUUCUUUAAUGACAUGACGAGAUUAUAAAUCGAAUCUAUAUUUUAUGUUAAUAAAAAUAGGUGUAUAUUUUGUCAAUAUAAAAGAUAACCGAGUGCGGCAACAAGUCAUUUUAUUAAAUCAAUUAAUUUUUAUUUAUCGAGUACUACUUAUUACAAGAAGAAGUUAGUGACGAAUGUUGAGAAGAAAAAAUAUUAUGGGCGGGUCCAACGAAUUCCGACCUAAUGAAUACAUGCGCAAUUAAAAUUCUCGAGAAAUAUUACAUUUGUGUAUUAUUAAGACCGUUGACGACACUCGAUCUCUAUAUUACGGAUAGUAAAUUCUCGUACGUGGAAAUUGGUUAUCCCAUGAAAGUUAUAAAUCGAAUUGAAAAAAUAAAAUUACGUCGUUUCUGCUGCUUCGGCACCGCCGUCUGUCCCUCCACCUCCUCUUCGUCAUCCGCUCCCACCGCCAAGAAGAAGCCCCUCGUCUUCCUCGGCUCUCCUCAGGUCUCGGCCACUGUUCUUGACGCCCUCUUCAACGCCCCGAGCUCCCCGGACUCCCCGUUUGAGGUUGCAGCAAUAGUUAUCCAACCGCCGGCUAGAAGAAACAGGGGGAAAAGGAUCAUGCCGUCUCCGGUGGCACAAUAUGCGCUCGACAGGGGAUUCUCCCCCGAACUUAUUCUCAAGCCAGAACCAGCAGGAGAGGAAUCCUUCCGUAUACUUUAAGAGCAUUGAAUCCCGAUAUUUGCAUCACCGCAGCAUAUGGAAAUAUUCUACCGAGCAAGUUUCUUAAAAUUCCUCCAUUGGGGACUGUUAAUAUACACCCAAGCCUACUACCAUUAUACCGUGGCACUGCUCCAGUUCAAAGAGCAAUUCAGGUAGGCUUAAGUUAACAUAUGCUUACAGAACAUGUGAUUAAAUAAGGAGGAUAUUCUCAUUUGUGGAGUUAUGUACGAGGAUGGUUUCGAGGAAACCGGAGUAUCAUUAGCAUUCACUGUCCGUGCUUUGGAUGCAGGACCCGUGAUUGCCACUCGGCGAUGGGAAGUUGAUGAUCGAAAGUAAGGUAGUGAGAGUUCUUGGUAGAGAAUAUGCAGAUUUGGAUUGAUCUUCUCGUUUUUGUUAAAUGUCAAUCAAUGGACAUUUUUAA